rnacentral:lncRNA from 1 species
UAUGCAGAUAUAUUAUUAAAUAUAACUAGUUCAGUCUCAUUACUACCUGCAUGUGUGUUUUCAAAGCAGAACUUUUGGUAUUGCACAACAAAUUGGUGUUCUCUUCCUUAAGAAAGCCUAUAUCUCUCUUUGCCAGAUUUCGUCAUUUGCAUAUUGUAAUUUAUGUAGGUUUUGUCCUUGUGGGCUUUUCUUUGUGUCAUAUAUAGUCAAUGAAUUUUAAUUCUGUCAUGUUGCUAUGACUCUUUCUGAUAUUACUAAAAGAGACACUACCACAGCAAACUUCCUGAACUUUCAUGUCUGAAUUUUUUCUGCCACAUUUUAGGCAAAAUUGCCUAAGCAUUAGGCAUGGAAGAGUUUAUACAUCUACCUAUCUAUCUAUCUAUCUAUCUAUCUAUCUAUCUAUCUAUCUAUCUAUCAGGUCUGUGAAAGCUCCAAAAGAAAAAGACAACCUAGAAUCUGACCCAAUUUUGAUGGCCAUGAGAAACAUCAAUUAUUAGCAGGGCAAAAAUAACCAUUAGGGUACAAAUAGGUGUAUGCUAAUAUAUGUGAUUGCACAUAUAUCUUGGAGAUAACAAACAGCUUUCUAGUAGAACUUAUGACCUCAUCAACAAAGAGGAGAUCAUGUUUGGUACUGGAAAUAUAGUCAACUAAUCAGAGUAGUGAAGUCACAGUCACUAGAGGGGAAACUAAAACUAUAAAAUUUUAAACAAACAUAAUCACUAUUAUUUAUAUCAUAUGUAUUAAUACCAAGAAUGAAUAAGUCCUCUCACUCCAUCAAGAAAAUUCUCUUUGCAAAUAGGUAUUCAGCCUUAAGGAGCUCAGUGUCAACUUCUUCAUAAUACCAAUUUCAGAUGGCUUAUUUGUUCAUAGAUGUGUGGAAAUGUAUUGGAUUGAUGGAAGCCAGAGAAUUUUACACAGAAGGAAAGAAGACUACACUGCCAGCAAAGCUUGUGAUGUGGAUGAAAGCGAGGCCAGGAAUGGCUAGGCUGUUGGACCUGGUCUACCUCUACCACUGGGAAGCUCCAAGCAGAUACAUACCACAGGCAGACUCCAGUGACUAUCAUUUUAGCAGGGGAUCCUCAGUGGCUCAGACACUGGUUGUGGAUUGUCCUUCCCCUACAUGACUUAUUGUUUUCCCAUACUGCUCUUUUGAACAAGUAAUAAAGUGUUCCAC